rnacentral:rRNA from 1 species
AGAGUUUGAUCCUGGCUCAGGAUGAACGCUGGCGGCGUGCUUAACACAUGCAAGUCGAGCGAAGCACUCGGCCUUGAAUCUUCGGAGGAAAGGCGGUUUGACUGAGCGGCGGACGGGUGAGUAACGCGUGGGCAACCUGCCCCAUACGGGGGGAUAACAGUUAGAAAUGACUGCUAAUACCGCAUAAGACCGCGGUGCCGCAUGGCACAGCGGUAAAAACUCCGGUGGUAUGGGAUGGGCCCGCGUCUGAUUAGCUAGUUGGCGGGGUAACGGCCCACCAAGGCGACGAUCAGUAGCCGACCUGAGAGGGCGACCGGCCACAUUGGGACUGAGACACGGCCCAAACUCCUACGGGAGGCAGCAGUGGGGAAUAUUGCACAAUGGGGGAAACCCUGAUGCAGCGACGCCGCGUGAGCGAUGAAGUAUUUCGGUAUGUAAAGCUCUAUCAGCAGGGAAGAAGAUGACGGUACCUGACUAAGAAGCCCCGGCUAACUACGUG